rnacentral:lncRNA from 1 species
UUGUAGAUGUUUUUAGACAAAUAUUCUGUUUGGUUUUGUUUUUGAUUGUUAAUUGUGCAGCGAAAUUGUGAUAGUAAAUUAAAUAUAAAGUUGUUUAUCGCCUACAGAACUGAAUUAUCCCAUAGUAAUUAUCAGUUUGUGUCAAUUUGUUUAAAAAAGAAAAAACACCUUUCCUUGUGUUUGACCGACUUGUAGCAAGGGCUUUCUUGUGAAUCCUGUAAAUUGCGGGAAUAGGACAGACAGGGAUAAAAUCCUCACUUUUUACUGUUCCCAAGGCUAUACAUUUCCCCCAUGCAAUACAUUUAAAUGAAUUUUAUCCAAACAAAGGCAGGAACAUUGGAUAAAAGCAAUAAGGAGAACAGACCUCAAAUUAAAAUAUGAGAGUAUACAGUAAACAUUUUAUAAGUGGAAUAAACACCAGCUAUUUUAAAUGUAGGAAAAGGAGAAACUGCUGGAACCUAACUUUACACAAAUGUUUUUGACUAUUGAAGAUUUGGAUAAACAACAGAAGUUACUUUGGGCUAUAGCUAUGUGCAGAUUUAUUUCAUUGUGGAUUACUAUGUUUAUUCUUUUUAACUAUACUUCCUACGUUGUUUGUGAGAUUAAUAUUAUUAUUUAAUUGAUUAUAUUAAUAUUUUGUAAUAAUAAUCAAUGCUUUGGUUUAACAAAUAGACAACUUAAAAUAGAAAAA